rnacentral:lncRNA from 1 species
UGAACAUGUCAUCAUGUCAGCCUCUCUGUCAUUUUAAGAUGGAGCAGCGUCUGUCUCCAAGUCUCUCCUCUGUGUCUUAACAUUUAAAAGUACACCUAUUUAUACCUUAGGUGUCUCCAUUUUAGGGUUACCGUAGUUCAUUUACUUUAUUCAUUUUAGGACCUCCCUUAAUUUGGCAAACAUACAAGGCCAUGACUAAAGGGUGCAUACGUCAUGGAAAUUUUCCUGACUUAGUUCAAGAUGGCAUCUUAAAGUCUGAAUAGGUUAUCUGUUGUUUAUACUAAGUCGUAAGUGUACAGUCGUGGGAGAUUCCCGGAUUUGGGGAAGUUCCAUUAACUUGGGGUUACCACAG